UAAUUUGAAUACAUUAAGGUACAGAAAGCAUUGGCUGUUUGCAGACUCCCAGUCAAGAUGUGUCAGAGACUCAAAAAGCAGAAGUAUUCAGUGAGGAGGUUUUUGUCACAGUGUAAAUCACUGUGAUACCCACUCAUUAACAGAGCUGUCCCAUGUUUGACAGUAAUAGACUGCUGAGUCUCCCUCCUCCACAUUGUUGAUGAUCAAACGAUAAUCUGAUUGUGACUGAUGAGUAGAUGUGAACUUUGGAGAGGAGAAACCAGAACCAUAGCUUGGAGAGCUAUCGCUGUGAUGAAACCUCAACACAUACUGAGGAACUCCUCCUGGAAUCUGUUUAUACCAGCGAGCAGCACUACCAGUAACAGUCCCCAGGUUACAGUCCAUGGUGGCUGUCUCUCCUUUCC